rnacentral:tRNA from 1 species
GGAUUGUGGCUCAGUGGUAGAGCGCUCGCCUGGCAUGCAUGAGGCACUGGGUUCAAUCCUCAGCACCA